rnacentral:rRNA from 1 species
AGUAACACGUGGAUAACCUGCCUCAAGGCUGGGGAUAACAUUUGGAAACAGAUGCUAAUACCGAAUAAAACUUAGUAUCGCAUGAUAUCAAGUUAAAAGGCGCUACGGCGUCACCUAGAGAUGGAUCCGCGGUGCAUUAGUUAGUUGGUGGGGUAAAGGCUUACCAAGACGAGGAUGCAUAGCCGAGUUGAGAGACUGAUCGGCCACAUUGGGACUGAGACACGGCCCAAACUCCUACGGAAGGCAGCAG